UCAUGGCUCAGAACGAACGCUGGCGGCGUGCUUAACACAUGCAAGUCGAGCGAGAAAGGGGGGGCAACCCCCUGAGUAGAGCGGCGCACGGGUGAGUAACGCGUGGGUGACCUACCCCCAGGCGGGGGAUAACUACUCGAAAGGGUGGCUAAUACCGCAUGAGACCACGGGAUCUUCGGAUCCUGAGGCUAAAGAUCGCACCGGCUUGCCGGUGCUGUCACCAGGGGAUGGGCCCGCGUCCGAUUAGCUAGUUGGUGAGGUAAUGGCUCACCAAGGCUCCGAUCGGUAGCUGGUCUGAGAGGAUGAUCAGCCACACUGGAACUGAAACACGGUCCAGACUCCUACGGGAGGCAGCAGUGAGGAAUAUUGCGCAAUGGGGGAAACCCUGACGCAGCAACGCCGCGUGGGUGAAGAAGGCCUUCGGGUCGUAAAGCCCUUUCGGACGGGACGAACGCUCCGCGGUGACAAGCCGCGGAGUCUGACGGUACCGUAGGAAGAAGCACCGGCUAACUCCGUGCCAGCAGCCGCGGUAAUACGGAGGGUGCGAGCGUUGUUCGGAAUUACUGGGCGUAAAGCGCGUGUAGGCGGCCUUGCAAGUCAGGCGUGAAAGCCCUCGGCUUAACCGGGGAAGUGCGUCUGAAACUGCUUGGCUUGAGUACGGGAGAGGGAGGCGGAAUUCCCAGUGUAGAGGUGAAAUUCGUAGAUAUUGGGAGGAACACCGGUGGCGAAAGCGGCCUCCUGGACCGAUACUGACGCUGAGACGCGAAAGCGUGGGGAGCAAACAGGAUUAGAUACCCUGGUAGUCCACGCGGUAAACGAUGGGCACUAGGUGUGGGGGGUAUCCACUCCUCCCGUGCCGAAGCUAACGCAUUAAGUGCCCCGCCUGGGGGAGUACGGC
rnacentral:rRNA from 1 species